GUGAAGAUGACGGACUUCAAACCCGUGGAGCUCUU
rnacentral:tRNA from 1 species